GCCAGGCAUGGUAGUGCAUGCCUGUAAUCCCAGCAACUUUGGAAACUGAGGCAGGAGGAUCGCAAGUUCAAAGCCAGCCUUAGCAACUUCACAAUGCCCUAAGCAACUUAGCAAGACCCUGUCUCAA
rnacentral:sRNA from 1 species